rnacentral:rRNA from 1 species
UACGGGGGGGGCAAGCGUUGUUCGGAAUUACUGGGCGUAAGGGGCUCGUAGGCGGCCAACUAAGUCAAACGUGAAAUCCCUCGGCUUAACCGGGGAACUGCGUCUGAUACUGGAUGGCUUGAGAUUGGGAGAGGGAUGCGGAAUUCCAGGUGUAGCGGUGAAAUGCGUAGAUAUCUGGAGGAACACCGGUGGCGAAGGCGGCAUCCUGGACCAACACUGACGCGGAGGGAGCGAAAGCCAGGGGAGCAAACGGG